CAGAUAAGAUUUUAUAUUUUGUCAGUUGAGCGUGUUUAGAAAGCAGUAUACUGAGGAUACCAAUGGCCACUGAAAUGUUGCAACUGGGAUUUUUCUUCACUUUCAUGAGUGUUAUGAUCGGGGUAACUGAAGGGAUUACUUGUUUCGAGUGCAAGUAUGACUCCGUAAGGUUACACGACACCAACCCAUUCGUUGUUACUGGGCCCACCUCAUGCGGACCUGACUUUGAUGAGUCUGGGCCUGACGUGGGGACGGUCGAGUGCGGCAUACAUGUGGAUUCCUGUUCCUUAGUUCUAUUCUACCACGGCAAGGCGUUGACAGGAAUCCAGCGAGGAUGCGCCUUCGAUUCAAGCUGCCAAGAGGGUUGUUUGGAGGGCUCUCAGAUCAAGACGUGUUUCCAUUGCUGCGGUGAGAACUUCUGCAACUCCUCCUCAACAAACCGUUUCUCUGUGGGACUACUUCUCUUUGUGGCACUUUGGGCGUUUCUUACGGUUCACUUCGGGAGAGGAUAUAAAUAAUAUUAUUUUCACCCCCCCCCCACUUCGAGACAUGGUUUCGACUUGACAUAACCUGCGUAAAAUAUCGAAGGUAAAAAAAUGGAUUAAAGAGGGUGAUCCUAUUAUCCACCACGACUUAUGGAUAUCGCUGUACAUUAGAUAUUCAACUUUAAAACUGAUUCUAGGGAAUAACAACGACUCCCUCCCAUAUCUAUUUUAUCGCCUCUCUGUGCUAAAUAGGAUGUCCUAGCUAAAAAAAGUUAAUUCUGCGAACAUUGUUUUCAUUAUGUGUGUAUAUUUCGAUGAUAUAUUCAUGAUUGAUUUGGUUAUCUAAAACAGCGAAAAUUCUGUCAUUGCCCGGUGUGAUAGACGACGAUACCAGUCUUUUUACUCUGGUGUUAAUUUUGUGGUGUUUAGUUUCAACACCUACACUCUAAAAAAUGAAGUACUAAUUUAGCACUUCAACAGAGCUUGAUAUCGUGACUCCACUUCGGGGUGCUCAUUUUCUAGUUCAAAUUUAAUGUACUAAAUCAGUACUUCGAGGUGCAGUCACUAUACAAACUCCUUUGGUGCUAAAUUAUCACUUCAUUUUUUAGUAUAUGUGUGUUAAAUUAAAGUUAUUGACCAACAUAAAUGGCGUAAUCCAUAAAUGUAUAUGUAUUUGUUCAAAUACCAUCCAAAUUGAUUUUGUAUAUAUUGUAUGUUUAAUUUUACUGAUGUACUUCGUAAUGUCUUUCCUAUAUGGUAGAUCAAAUAUAACACUCACUCGUAGUGCAGUCACUAUACAAGCAUUGUAAGCAUGGUAAGUGCUAAAUUAGCCCUUCAAUUUUACAGUGUACCUCAGCACCACGUUCUUUGUCGUUUUAAGAGUGCAAACAACUUUAAAUCAACAUAGUUUACACAAAUGUGUGUGGUUUUUAAUCCAUUGAACAAAAUGUGCAACUUGUAAUCAAUCCUUUAUUGAAAAUUAAACAUAACUAUUCAAUUGUUAACACGUUGCUUGCAAUAAAAUAAUAUACGAUCAGUCCAUGAUUAUAGUAACCAAUGGUGAAUCAAUCAUUAUUACUGUGAACAAAUUGAGAGAGAAAACAAAAAUAUGUGUAUACUCGAGUUAUUAAGACUAGAACUAAGCAUUUUUAGGAAGAAAAUCAUGUCAUGGUGAAAGAGUAAUGAGUAACAAUGACAUAUGAAUAGAUAGAAAUAUCUCUGAAAUGGUUGCAGAUUGCAACUGAAAGAGGCAGGAUUCGGAUGGAUGCUGUAUACUCCUUGCUACGAAUGCGAUUGUGAGAUUCGGAACGAAAAAAGGGUCAAUAUAUAGACUAAUUGUAACCCGACAUGAGAUGGCGUCCUUCCAUAAUCCCCCCAAAUUGAUUGAUCUAUAUAUUUACUGACCUAUAUUAUUUUCCAAUAAACAGAUAAAUAUAUUUCGGUUAUCAAGGAGACUCCGAAAAGCGACCUAUUUAAUAGGCCUGAAAAAAAACGAAGUCAACCAUGUAAAAACAUUGUGAUUGUGUUUGAUUUGUUUUUCAUUCUAGGAUCCAGAAAGAGGGAGAAACAUAGUUAAUAAAUAUCGGUGAACAUUAAUGAUAGAAUGGAAGAUAUUCAUUACGAAUGGGUUAUUUUGUUCUGUCACAAGCAUUAAACAGGCUUUUUACGAAUAUAGGAGGUAGGAAGAAGGUUCCAUUUCUGUAUCUAAUUCUGUAGUAUAAUUCAGCCGGGGAUCGAACCCACGACCUCCCGUUCAUGAUGCAUGCGCUCUACUACUGAGCCACCAUGGCAGAAUAAGCACGGGGGGGGGGGGGGGCAGGCAUAUUAUUUCAUUUCGUUUCGUUUCGUUUAUUUCCUUUUCCAACAAUUAUAUUCAAUGUGAAGGCACCUGUGGAAGGCUCCUCGAUUGUACACCCGACAGAAAUUAAGACACGAAGUCAUCAGAAGUAAGGUGUUUGAUGUUUUAUUGUAUAGGAGAAAAAAUUGCAUUGUACAGAAAAAUAUACAAAAAAUAAUAUUAUAAGUACAUAUUCAUAUUGAGAUUAUUAUUGGAUGGCAUCAGCUAAGAAAAAGUGCUCAUAUUUCUGUAAUUAGAAUGCAGUUCAACAAUUAAUCAAUAAACCGAAAAAUGAAUUAACAAUCGCAUGGAUUUAAUAUUUCACCAUUAUUUCAUUAGUGAAUUAUAUUAUAUUCGGCAUUAUAAUGC